rfam:Danio rerio chromosome 23, GRCz11 reference primary assembly.
AUACACAACCAUAUCACCCUACAGCCCAAGACCGGUUAUUUACUGAAGCUUAAUAGGGCUGAGCCUGGUCAGUACCUUAAUGGCAGACCACAUGGGAAAACUAGGUUGCUGCCGGAA